GUCGAGCGCGGGAAGCAAGCAGAUCUCCUUCGGGAGUGACGCUUGUGGAACGAGCGGCGGACGGGUGAGUAACACGUGGGCAACCUACCUGUAAGACUGGGAUAACUCCGGGAAACCGGGGCUAAUACCGGAUGAAACAAAGCGUCGCAUGACGCAAUGUUAAAAGGCGGCAUAUGCUGUCACUUACAGAUGGGCCCGCGGCGCAUUAGCUAGUUGGUGAGGUAAAGGCUCACCAAGGCAACGAUGCGUAGCCGACCUGAGAGGGUGAUCGGCCACACUGGGACUGAGACACGGCCCAGACUCCUACGGGAGGCAGCAGUAGGGAAUCUUCCGCAAUGGACGAAAGUCUGACGGAGCAACGCCGCGUGAGUGAUGAAGGUUUUCGGAUCGUAAAACUCUGUUGUUAGGGAAGAACAAGUGCCAUUCGAAUAGGUUGGCACCUUGACGGUACCUAACCAGAAAGCCCCGGCUAACUACGUGCCAGCAGCCGCGGUAAUACGUAGGGGGCAAGCGUUGUCCGGAAUUAUUGGGCGUAAAGCGCGCGCAGGCGGUCCUUUAAGUCUGAUGUGAAAGCCCACGGCUUAACCGUGGAGGGCCAUUGGAAACUGGAGGACUUGAGUACAGAAGAGGAGAGUGGAAUUCCACGUGUAGCGGUGAAAUGCGUAGAGAUGUGGAGGAACACCAGUGGCGAAGGCGACUCUCUGGUCUGUAACUGACGCUGAGGUGCGAAAGCGUGGGUAGCGAACAGGAUUAGAUACCCUGGUAGUCCACGCCGUAAACGAUGAGUGCUAGGUGUUAGG
rnacentral:rRNA from 1 species